rnacentral:rRNA from 1 species
UAGGGAAUCUUCGGCAAUGGGGGGAACCCUGACCGAGCAACGCCGCGUUAGUGAAGAAGGUUUUCGGAUCGUAAAGCUCUGUUGUUAAGGAAGAACGAGUGUGAGAAUGGAAAGUUCAUACUGUGACGGUACUUAACCAGAAAGGGACGGCUAACUACGUGCCAGCAGCCGCGGUAAUACGUAGGUGGCAAGCGUUGUCCGGAUUUAUUGGGCGUAAAGCGAGCGCAGGCGGUCAAUUAAGUCUGAUGUGAAAGCCCCCGGCUCAACCGGGGAGGGUCAUUGGAAACUGGUUGACUUGAGUGCAGAAGAGGAGAGUGGAAUUCCAUGUGUAGCGGUGAAAUGCGUAGAUAUAUGGAGGAACACCAGUGGCGAAGGCGACUCUCUGGUCUGUAACUGACGCUGAGGCUCGAAAGCGUGGGUAGCAAACAGG